ACGAGAAAAAACUUUGAAGUAGAAGACAACAAAGAAACAAAAAAUAAGUAGUUUUUCAUCACCAAGGUGGAAGUGCUAGACAAAAUAUAUAUUUUUUUGUUUGAAUUCUUAUGAACGGCAUUUUUCUUUUUAAUAAAAACAGAAAAAAUACUUAAUGUAGUUAUCUUAAAGAGCUCGGAAGCAUUUAAUUCAUAGACUUUUAGAAGAAACUUUAUUGUUUCGCUUUGAAAAGGAAAAAACACACAUACACAUUAAUAAAUUCGUCACAUCAGCUAAAAAUAAAAAUUUUACCGUCUACUCUAUACCAUCUUGAUCAUCAUCGUCUUUACCACUACUACAACUACUUGGAGGUCUACACAUAGUGUUGCUCUAUCUUUAUUAUUUGGUCUUUGCCUUAUAGUCAGUCCGACAGACAAUUAGUCAGUCAUUCAUUUAUACAGACGUACUCUUUCAUCUACCAAAAUUUGCCAAUAUUCUGUAGGAGUACAAAAAAAGAAAAAGAAAAUCUUUUAAGUUUUUUCACCUUUUCCUCUUGGAUUGCUUUAUCGAGAUUUGUUUAAAACACAGCAACACAAUGGAGUUUUUGUUUGGAUCGCGAUCAAGUAAAACGUUUAAACCUAAAAAGAAUAUACCUGAAGGAACUCAUCAAUAUGAUCUCAUGAAACAUGCAGCCGCCACACUGGGUUCGGGUAAUUUACGAAAUGCCGUAGCCCUUCCAGAUGGUGAAGAUCUUAACGAAUGGGUGGCCGUAAACACUGUGGAUUUCUUCAAUCAAAUCAACAUGCUAUACGGUACUAUUACAGAAUUUUGCACUGAAGAAAGUUGUGGUAUAAUGUCAGCUGGUCCCAAAUAUGAAUAUCACUGGGCUGAUGGUUAUACAGUUAAGAAACCCAUUAAAUGUAGUGCACCCAAAUAUAUUGAUUAUCUCAUGACCUGGGUACAGGAUCAAUUAGAUGAUGAAACGUUAUUUCCCUCCAAAAUUGGAAUACCUUUUCCAAAGAAUUUCUUAAGUAAUGCUAAAACUAUAUUGAAACGCUUAUUCCGUGUUUAUGCUCACAUAUAUCAUCAACAUUUUUCGGAAGUUGUAACAUUGGGCGAAGAGGCCCAUCUCAAUACAUCAUUUAAGCAUUUCAUAUUUUUUGUACAGGAGUUUAAUUUAAUUGAACGACGUGAGCUGGCACCUUUGCAGGAACUUAUUGAUAAGUUGACAGCAAAAGAUGAAAGGCAAAUAUAGGACUCAAUGCAAGUUGUGGGGGCUUCGCAUGGAAUGGAGUUUUGAGUUUAACCACCGAUGACAAUGGAAAUACUUGUACAGAUACUACUAAUCCAAAUUACAAAAAAAAACGGAUAAUAAAAUUUUAUUUAUAAACAAAUACACA
rnacentral:misc_RNA from 1 species